UACAAGCGGUCGGAGCAGUAUCUUCGAUACUGUGACGGCGUACUUUUUGCAUAACGGGCCAGCGAGUCGCUGGUGUCUGGCGAGGUUAAGCAGUAGCGAGCCGAAGCGAAAGCGAGUGUGAACAGCGCGUACAGUCAGAUGCCGCGGACCCGAAACCGAGUGAGCUAUCCAUGGCCAGGCUGAAGCGGGGGUAAGACCUCGUGGAGGGCCGAACCGACCUGGGUUGAAAACCGGGCGGAUGAGCUGUGGAUCGGAGUGAAAGGCUA
rnacentral:rRNA from 1 species